rnacentral:lncRNA from 10 species
UUUCAUUUCUUGUUUUUUGCUUGUUUGCUUGUUUGUUUGCACCUGGUUGAUGUAUAAGUCUUGGACUUUGGGAGACCCAAAAGAGAAGGAAGGUGUUGGCAAUAUCCUUGAAGAGACUAAAAGAACUCAGAACAACACUGAACAAGCCAGCAGAGCCAUCAACUCACCCCUACAGUCUCCAUACACAGACUCCAUGAAAGCAUUGGCCAUCAGCUCUCACUGGUGUGGAUAUGUCACCAGUGGGGUAGAGUUGUUCCUCUCUCUGACACUGUAUUAGUCCAUUCUCACACUGCUAUUAAAAAACAAACAAAC